GAUGAACGCUGGCGGCGUGCCUAAUACAUGCAAGUCGAGCGAAUGGAUUAAGAGCUUGCUCUUAUGAAGUUAGCGGCGGACGGGUGAGUAACACGUGGGUAACCUGCCCAUAAGACUGGGAUAACUCCGGGAAACCGGGGCUAAUACCGGAUAACAUUUUGCACCGCAUGGUUCUAAAUUGAAAGGCGGCUUCGGCUGUCACAUAUGGAUGGACCCGCGUCGCAUUAGCUAGUUGGUGAGGUAACGGCUCACCAAGGCAACGAUGCGUAGCCGGCCUGAGAGGGUGAUCGGCCACACUGGGACUGAGACACGGCCCAGACUCCUACGGGAGGCAGCAGUAGGGAAUCUUCCGCAAUGGACGAAAGUCUGACGGAGCAACGCCGCGUGAGUGAUGAAGGCUUUCGGGUCGUAAAACUCUGUUGUUAGGGAAGAACAAGUGCUAGUUGAAUAAGCUGGCAACUUGACGGUACCUAACCAGAAAGCCACGGCUAACUACGAGCCAGCAGCCGCAGUAA
rnacentral:rRNA from 1 species